rnacentral:rRNA from 1 species
GUGCCAGCCGCCGCGGUAAGACAGAGGUGCCAAGCGUUAGGCGGAAUCACUGGGCUUAAAGCGUGUGUAGGCGGAAGCGUAAGUGCCUUGUGAAAUCCCGCGGCUUAACCGCGGAACGGCUGGGCAUACUGCGUUUCUUGAGCCAGCCAGGGGUCGUCGGAACAAACGGUGGAGCGGUGAAAUGCGUAGAUAUCGUUUGGAACGCCAAAGGCGAAAGCAGACGACUGGGGCUGAGCUGACGCUGAGACACGAAAGCCAGGGGAGCAAACGGGAUUAGAAACCCCCGUAGUCC